rnacentral:lncRNA from 1 species
GCAUGGAUAGUGGUGUGUCUCCUAGGUGAUUCUAGAUCCUGUCAAAAAUGACAACUGAGAGCAACUUAUCUCCCUGAGGACUGCUGCUGACCACCAUGAAGCUCCUCAGAGAUUCCCUUUUAAGUGCUGAUGAUGCUGUUUGUAGUAGAGUGUUGUCAAAAUUGCACAAAGCCUCCAUUUCUUCCUCCAACACCACAAACAAAACACAGAAAAACAUGUCCAUAGCUCACCCCUGGACUCUUUGGCACCAUUGCUCAGCUUUCACUUUUCAAAUUUACCUUUUUGGGGGAAGGAAGGCUUCAAGGAUGGAGGGUGGAAGAACUGGAAGAAGAGUGGGAUUGGGGUGCAUGAUGUGAAUUUCCCAAAGAUUCAAUAAAGAAUUAUAUUAAAUG